rnacentral:lncRNA from 1 species
GAUCCUCAUGUUUUAGCCUUUUAUUCAGCAAGUAUCUGAUGAGUGUCUUCAAUGUUCCAGGCACCAUGCUGGUCUGUGGGAGGACACUUGGGGGAAGAAGAUGAGCAAGGCAGCUGGUCUUGUGCAGCAAAUCAGAAGAUGUGUCUUCUGGGACCUGGUGCAGAACAGAUGCCAGUGAGCUGCUUGAGGAGAGAAGGAAGGGUUUUCAUCUUCAGCCUCACUUCUGCAGUCACAUGCUUGGGUAUGGCACUUUCUUUCCUUGCCCACUGUUAAUCAGCAGCCUCAAAGCCUGUUGUGCCUCUUAUCACCUUCUACCA